GCCCACGUAGCUCAGUGGUAGAGCACAUCCAUGGUAAGGAUGGAGUCACCGGUUCAAGUCCGGUCGUGGGCU
rnacentral:tRNA from 1 species